CCUACGGGUGGCAGCAGUGGGGGAUAUUGCACAAUGGGGGAAACCCUGAUGCAGCGACGCCGCGUGAGUGACGAAGUAUUUCGGUAUGUAAAGCUCUAUCAGCAGGGAAGAAAAUGACAGUACCUGACCAAGACGCCCCGGCUAACUACGUGCCCGCAGCCGCGGUAAUACGUAGGGGGCAAGCGUUAUCCGGGUUUACUGGUUGUAAGGGUAGCGUAGACGGUUAUGUAAGUCUUGAGUGAAAGCCCGGGGCCCAACCCGGGGACUGCUUUGGAAACUGUGUAACUGGAGUACAGGUGGGGCAGGCGGAAUGCCUGGUGUAGCGGUGAAAUGCGUAGAUAUCAGGAGGAACACCGGCGGCGAAGGCGGCCUGCGGGACUGAAACUGACGUUGAGGCUCGAAAGCGUGGGGAGCAAACAGGAUUAGAUACCCGUGUAGUC
rnacentral:rRNA from 1 species